rnacentral:rRNA from 1 species
AAUAGAUACCCGGGUAGUCCACGCCGUAAACGAUGGAUGCUAGCUGUUAUGCGUAUCGACCCGUGUAGUAGCGAAGCUAACGCGUUAAGCAUCCCGCCUGGGGAGUACGAACGCAAGUUUAAAACUCAAAGGAAUUGACGGGGACCCGCACAAGCGGUGGAGCGUGUUCUUUAAUUCGAGGCUAAGCGAAGAACCUUACCAGGGCUUGACAUCCUUGGAAUUUCUCCGAAAGGAGAGAGUACUUUAUUGGACCAAGUGACAGGUGCUGCAUGGCCGUCGUCAGCUCGUGUCGUGAGAUGUUUGGUUAAGUCCAUUAACGAGCGCAACCCUUAUGAAUAGUUGUAUUUUUCUAUUCAGACUGCCCCGGUAACGGGGAGGAAGGGGGGGAUGAUGUCAGGUCAGUAUUGCCCUUACGCCCUGGGCUAGAAACGCGCUACAAUGGCCGGUACAAUGCGCUGCCAACCCGCGAGGGGAGCAAAUCGCAUCAAAGCCGGUCCCAGUUCGGAUAAGAGGCUGAAACUCGCCUCUUUGAAGCCGGAAUCGCUAGUAAUCGU